CGGACGUGGCAACUUUACAGUAGCCAGCCCUGCUGAAUGCCACAGGCAAACUGGGCGUGGGGGAAACAGUCCGAACAGAGCCUAAUAAUCCUCAAACCUCACCAAAGCGCGGCACAAAUUGCGCAUAUUUGAUAUAGUAUGACCGUAGUGACAAGUGCCUCGUUGGAGCCAGUGGAUUCACCUGAAUCAAAGUCAUACCAUCAGGAUCUACUUCCAGGAGUCUGCAGAGGUGUUAAUUGAUGGAGAUGUGCCAGACCAGUGCCACUAAACUCGGGUGGCCUGUACCUGUGCCUCUGCCAGCUGCUGCGCCAGCUGUGCAAGGUGAGAAAGCAGAACAGCAUCACAGAAAGAGACGAACAGGCAGCUGCUGCAAACAGAGAGGAACAUCAUCAAAGGAGUGCUGAGCCAGCCUACACAGCCCCAAUCAUAAUAUAUUUAUUAUUUACAGCAAAGACCUUAUUAUUAAGUGUCAAGCAUUUGAAAUUGGAAUUGAGGCGGUAUAAUUUUGUACUGUGCUACACUGAGAAGAAGAAAUGUGUUAUUAGUAAAAAAAAAAAAAAAAAUUGUGUGUUUUGUGCAUUUUAAGCUUUUGUAACAUCUCAGUAAAACUACUGAAUUGAGAUCUCUUAAUGUUGAUUAACAACAUGAAGGUCCUGGAUGUCUCUUUUUACAACAUUAUCACAAAGAUUAAAUCAA